AACGAACGCUGGCGGCAGGCUUAACACAUGCAAGUCGAACGCAUCCUUCGGGGUGAGUGGCAGACGGGUGAGUAACGCGUGGGAACGUGCCCUUCAGUUCGGGAUAACCCAGGGAAACUUGGGCUAAUACCGGAUACGUGCGAGAGCAGAAAGAUUUAUCGCUGAAGGAGCGGCCCGCGUCUGAUUAGCUAGUUGGUGGGGUAAUGGCCCACCAAGGCGACGAUCAGUAGCUGGUCUGAGAGGAUGAUCAGCCACAUUGGGACUGAGACACGGCCCAAACUCCUACGGGAGGCAGCAGUUGGGAAUAUUGGACAAUGGGCGCAAGCCUGAUCCAGCCAUGCCGCGUGAGUGAUGAAGGCCUUAGGGUUGUAAAGCUCUUUCGUCCGGGACGAUAAUGACGGUACCGGAAGAAGAAGCCCCGGCUAACUUCGUGCCAGCCGCCGCAGUAA
rnacentral:rRNA from 1 species